AACAGCAAGUGGCAAUAGGGAAGUGGAGCUUAGAAGAGAGAGGAAAGCUGUGAGCAAGAAUAUCCUGAGUUCACCUGGAAGAACAGCCAGAGGCAGCAGCUGCAGGUUUGUCCCAGCUCAAGCAAACCCUGUCUGAAAUUCAGCAGCCCCACCAAGGCAAACACUGAAGAAACAUGUUGUGAACAUGCCUGGUUCUUUCAGGUGGAAGGAGAUUCAUCCUAGGAUGUUCCUGAAGACUUGUGAGAUGUCACAUUAUAUAGCAUUUUGUGGGGACUGGAGAAUGUCACUUUGACAA